rnacentral:tRNA from 1 species
GGUGGCUCACGGGUAGAGUGCUUGCCUUGCAUGCAUGAGGACCUGGGUUCGAUUCCUCAGCACCA